AAUAACACACAUAAAAAUCUAUCCAACCAAAACUAGAAGAAGCAAACAUUAUCAAACAUGAGGAUAACCAAGAAGAAUUGGUUUGGCAGUGUCCGUAAGAAACUAUUCAGGUCAUCUCCUCCACAUAAAACUAUCAUUGUUCUACAUAACAACACCAUUACAACUAGAACAAGCAGUGCAAAUGGGCAAUCUACAAAGCACAACGGCCGCACUUAUUUUCUAUUUAAAGAGGAUAUGGCUGCUAUUACUAUCCAAUCUCACUUUAGGGGUCAUCUCAUAAGUUGUACUUAACCAUCUUCUUAAUUUUCCUUUUGACGUUAAUUGAUAGUAUUUGCUAUGUAUACAUGUUCUUGAUUCUGGCAAUGUAAAUUAUAGGCGAGACGGGCGUUUAAAGCAUAGAAAAGUCUUGUGAGGCUUCAAGCAGUUGUACGUGAGGCAUGUGUGAGAAGACAAGCUAGAAUAGCUCUCCAUUGCAUGCACGCCUGCAAGUAACUGUCCGAGCUCGCCAACUUAUCAGCAAAUGCGACAACCGUCGAUAAUUCAUAUACUAUCUUCUUAGUAUCUCCCUUCAUCUAGUGGCGUACCCAGUAUUUUGAGCAUAUUAUAACAAUUAGGCUAGUAUAUGGAUUUGAGUCCGGAAAUGUGGGGAGCUUUACCUUAGUACUCCCUCCAUGUUAAGGACAUUUUUUACGUUUUUUUGCUUCUCUAUAAACAAAAAUAUAUGCAG
rnacentral:lncRNA from 1 species